GCUUGGGGCCUGGGUGCGGGCGGCCCCGGGUGGAGCGCCCCGCCCUGCCCGCCCCCGCGCAGCGGGCUGGUUACUGAGUAACCUGCCGCUCAGGUUGCUUGCCUGCCGGGGCCGACGGACCGCGGGGAGCACUGGGGAGCACCGCCGGGGAGACCGCUGGGCGACCUCCAGGGGCACCGCCGGGAGCACCGCGGGACCGGGCAGCGACGCGGGCGCAGGUAAGGGGGUCCACGGUGAGGCGGAGGCCCAGGGGACACUGGCCGGGAUGCCCCGUGAGUAGACAGUCCAGUGGGUGGGUCCUGGUGUGGGCGGGAGGCAGCCUCUGCUCCCUGAGGACCCCUGCCCGGCACCUGGGCCAGGCAAGGAGCCGGGGGUCCUGGUGGCAGCCCCUGCGGCUGUGCGGGGCCUC
rnacentral:lncRNA from 1 species